CAAACUAUGAUUGAAUGAAAAUAAUUCACUAAAUUUGUGCGCUGAUAUCAUUUUACGAAACACAAGAAAAUAAACGAUAGUGGACUGUUGUUGUGCUACGGGAUUGUACGGUUUUGGAAGAAAGAUGAGAGGUAUUGCAAGAAUCUUCAUAUUGAUCGUUAUGGUAACUUUCUUAAAGCAUAUAUCAUGCCAGUGCUCUUGUAGACUAAGUGUUGAAAAUCUAACACACACAUCUUACGAAGGUGAUCGAGCUUACACAAGAAAACUUUAUUAUAAUGUUUGCGUUUCGGAAUAUGAACCAAUGGUCUACAAUGAAAUCCGUCAGGUAUCUGCCAUUUUGGAGUCCAUGCAAUGCUGUUGUCGGGCCUAUUGGAGUAGAGAACGUGUCAAUUCGGGCGGAGGUACAAUCUUUAUCAAUACAGCAGUCUUUUGUCAAAACAUUCCAUGCAGUGCCUUUAUGCCACUUGAAGCCGCUAUGUUGGUUGACAAUUGACAAUAAAUGCAAAUGAAUUAAAAGUAGAUAAAGGAAACAAAACAGAUUUAGGAAAACAACUACUACAACGAUUAGUAAAAUAGAAAACUGGAAUGCCUUCCGCGUUGUUUUUAUUUCAACUUCCACUAUUUAAAAGAAAAACAUCACUUAUCAUUAUUAAUAUUGCAAAUAGAUGUUGCGUUCUGUCGAU